GGCGGAGGCAGGCGGAUCACCUGAGGUCAGGAGUUGGAGACCAGCCUGACCAACAUGGAGAAACCCCGUCUGUACUAAAAAUACAAAAUUAGCCGGGCAUGGUGGCACACACCUGUAGUCCCAGCUACUCGGGAGGCUGAGGCAGGAGAAUCGCUUGAACCUUGAGAGGCGGAGGUUGCAGUGAGCCGAGAUCGCGCCAUUGCACUCUAGCCUGAGCAACAAGAGCAAAACUCCAUGUCAAAAAGAAAAAAAAAAAGCAAAAUAGAAAUUUCGUACACAGUUUAGCAAUCUGCUCCUAGGUGUUGACCCAAGAGAAAUGAAAGAGCAAGGCCACACAGACGUGUUCAGGAACAACCCAUGAUCCACGCACAGCUGGACAUACGAAGGAGCUGUGUGCGUCCACGCCACGGGGUCCUGCUCAGCAUGGAGAGGGGUGAGCUGCUGGUGUGACGGCGCCACGGGGUCCUGCUCAGCAUGGAGAGGGGUGAGCUGCUGGUGUGACGGCGCCACGGGGUCCUGCUCAGCAUGGAGAGGGGUGAGCUGCUGGUGUGACGGCGCCACGGGGUCCUGCUCAGCAUGGAGAGGGGUGAGCUGCUGGUGUGACUGCAGCACAGGGCAUGCCCAGGAGCUCAUCCCCGCUCCUGCACUGUGGCCAUAGCUCCAGGCAGCCGCGCGCCGACCCCACCCACAGGCCUGGGUGGAGCUGAAGGUCUAAGCCCCAUGCCAGACCCUCAUCCAGGCAGCGACCCCUGGGCACAGGGGGCAUGGCAGGGACACCGAUUUCCUCCUCCUUCUGUCAGUUUGGACAAAGAUUCCAGGGCCACAGACCACCGUCUGGCCGCCCCAAACUGCUUUCUCCAAAAGGGCUUGCCCCAAAGCUUUGCCCACCGAGUCCUGGAGCUGCUGAGCGUCCUGCCGGGCCUCACCUUAGUCUCUCCUGUCGCCUUGUGAGGAAGUGCCUGCUUCCCCUUCCACCAUGAUUGUAAGUUUCCUGAGACCUACCCAGCCAUGGGGAACUAGGUGUGUGUUACUCAGAGGCUGGUGGAGAUGAGAUACACUGCACGUCACAAACCCUGGAGGGACCUGUGAAACUGAAACAGAUGUUGCUGGUAACACAACAGAGGACAAAAACAUGGACUCCUUAAAGAUAGUCAACCAAUCCAAAAGAAAUCAGGAAAAGAAAAAAACAAGGAACAAAGAAUAAAUGAAAAAAAUACAAAACAAAUAGCAAGGUAGUAUACAUAAAUUAAAAUGUAAAAAUUCCAAAUUAAAGGCAGAUAUUUUCAGACUGAAUAAAGGGCAAUAUUCAGCUAUAUACUGUGUAUAUAAAUCCACUUUACAUAUAAAGACACGUAUAGAUUAAAUGUGACAAGAUGGAAAUAAUACAACAUACAAACAUUGAUUAUAAUUAAGCUGAUGUGGCCAUACUAACAUUAGACAAAGCAGACUUCAGAACAAGGAAUAUUAACAGAGAAAAAGAAAAGCAGCCCAUAAUGGAUACAGGGUUCUAUGUAUUAAGAAAAUAUAGGCCGGGUGCGGUGGCUCACGCCUGUAAUCCCAGCACUUUGGGAGGCCGAGGUGGGCGGAUCACGAGG
rnacentral:lncRNA from 1 species